GAGUCAUUACUAAGGUGCAGCAGUGUCUCAGAUGUCCACAAAUAGAUGAUGGAGGCCAGCCCUUGUCCUCAAGGCCAUGCAUGAAAUUCUAAGCCAGAAGGACAGGGACGACAGCUCACAGGAUCCAGCAAUGAACAUUUUCAAAGGAAUCAUGGCCUUCUCUCAUGGUACAGUGGAUAAGAAUCCACCUAGCACUGCAGGGAGCAUGGGCCCCAUCCCUGGUCCAGGAAGAUCCCACACGCCAUGGAGCAGCUGAGCCUGUGCGCCACAACUCCUGAGCAUGAGAGCCACAACUACUGAGUCCAUGAGUGCCUCGAGCCCACAUGCCGAACAAGAGAUGCCACUGUAGUGAGAAGACUGUGCCCUGCAAUGAAGAGCAGACCCUGCUCACCGCUGUUAAAGAAAGCCCAUGCACAGCAAUAAAGAUUCAAUGCAGCCAAAAGCA
rnacentral:lncRNA from 1 species